rnacentral:rRNA from 1 species
CACGUAGGCGGACUUUUAAGUCAGGGGUGAAAUCCCGGGGCUCAACCCCGGAACUGCCUUUGAUACUGAAAGUCUUGAGUAUGGUAGGGGUGAGUGGAAUUCCGAGUGUAGAGGUGAAAUUCGUAGAUAUUCGGAGGAACACCAGUGGCGAAGGCGGCUCACUGGACCAUUACUGACGCUGAGGUGCGAAAGCGUGGGGAGCAAACA